UACGUAGGGUGCGAGCGUUGUCCGGAAUUAUUGGGCGUAAAGGGCUCGUAGGCGGUUUGUCGCGUCGGGAGUGAAAACGCCGUGCUUACACGGCGCUUGCUUUCGAUACGGGCAGACUAGAGGUAUGCAGGGAGAACGGAAUUCCUGGUGUAGCGGUGAAAUGCGCAGAUAUCAGGAGGAACACCGGUGGCGAAGGCGGGUCUCUGGGCCGAAAUGACGCUGAGGAGCGAAGCGUGGGGAGCAAACAGG
rnacentral:rRNA from 1 species